AUCCAGUUGACGACUCCAAAAUAGGACGAAACGCACGUUCUGGAU
rnacentral:hammerhead_ribozyme from 1 species